rnacentral:lncRNA from 1 species
GGCAAAAAUUGAUUUAGUGUCCCAACUCCUAUCCAUGCUAAUUAUUGCAUACAGACACAGGUAGCCUCUGAUAUAUUGAAAGAAAAACACGGAAACAAGAAAUCAUUUUAAAAUGAAAAAAGCAAAUCUGAGAACUAGUUUAGCAAAGAAUCCUGAAUGUGGUUAUUGGCACAUGGAAAUGUCUGGAAAAAAUAAAAUCAGGAGGCGACUAUGUUUUUUUGAAAAGUUGUUCUGACAAGGAAAUGAAUAACCUGGUCUACAAAUGCAUGUGAGGGUUCAGUAAGCCUUAAAACAACCCUCAAGCAAGAACGGGCUAUGAAGCAAUGUUUUCUUCAAGAAAGGCAUCAAAUGUGCUCAAGGAAUAUAGAAAUAGACAACCUCCCAGAGGGCAGAACCAGGGAUCAUAGACCAGAAGCUGCUCCCAGAGAAGAGAACCAGGACUAAUAAAAGAACUUCCCCUGCCUCCAAGCAAGUUGAAUGCAGCCUGAUCUCUGAGUGCAUGACGAGAGCGAGAAAGAAGUAGCCAACCUGGGUCCUAAAACUUCAGACUGAGGACGCAACCCCUGGCCCUGAGAAGUGGCAUCUUUCAUUAGGUAAAAGGGGAUUGGACUCAAGAUGGCGCUGUGAGAACAACCCAGGACUGGAGCUCUCGUUGUGUCCGCGGAAAGGUGAGUCUGAGCUGCAUUUCCAGACUGAUCUUUGUUGCCCACGGAACGGGGAAAUUCCCAAGGGAAGAGGAGACGCGGGACGCCAGGCAGAACCUCCGCCUGGCGAAGCCGGCAGCCGGGGUGGCGGCGGCCGGCCCUACCCAGCGCUCCCCACAGGGCGCGC